AUAAAACUUUCAACAACGGAUCUCUUGGCUCUCGCAUCGAUGAAGAACGCAGCGAAUUGCGAUAAGUAAUGUGAAUUGCAGAAUUCAGUGAAUCAUCGAAUCUUUGAACGCAGCUUGCGCUCUCUGGUAUUCCGGAGAGCAUGCCUGUUUCAGUGUCA
rnacentral:rRNA from 1 species